rnacentral:rRNA from 1 species
UACAGAGGGGGCAAGCGUUAUUCGGAAUUAUUGGGCGUAAAGGGCGCGUAGGUGGUCAGGUAAGUCAAAGGUGAAAUCCCUCGGCUCAACCGAGGAACUGCCUUUGAUACUGCCAGACUUGAGGCCGGGAGAGGGUAGCGGAAUUCCCAGUGUAGCGGUGAAAUGCGUAGAUAUUGGGAGGAACACCGGUGGCGAAGGCGGCUACCUGGACCGGUUCUGACACUGAGGCGCGAAAGCGUGGGGAUCAAACAGG